rnacentral:rRNA from 1 species
UACAGAGGUCUCAACCGUUGUUCGGAUUCAUUGGGCGUAAAGGGUGCGUAGGCGGUCGCGCAAGUCGGAUGUGAAAUCUCAGGGCUCAACCCUGAAACUGCAUUCGAUACUGCGUGGCUAGAGUGCUGGAGAGGAGACUGGAAUUUACGGUGUAGCAGUGAAAUGCGUAGAUAUCAGGAGGAACACCGAUGGCGAAGGCAGGUCUCUGGGCUGACACUGACGCUCAUGCACGAAAGCGUGGGGAGCAAACAGG